CUGUGUCUCUUCCGUGCGAGACUCAAAGCGGAAAAUGUGUGCGCCUUGAGCUUGCAACGACACUCCGCAAUUACAGAGUGCGU
ensembl:ncRNA LLC1.120 ncRNA